AUUUAUUUAGUAUAAAAGUAUAUUUGACUUCCAAUCAAAAGGACUGAAUAAGAUCAGAAUAAAUA
rnacentral:tRNA from 1 species